AACGAACGCUGGCGGCAGGCCUAACACAUGCAAGUCGAACGAGAUCUUCGGAUCUAGUGGCGGACGGGUGAGUAACGCGUGGGAACGUACCCUUUGCUUCGGAAUAGCCUCGGGAAGCUGGGAGUAAUACCGGAUACGACCUUAGGGGGAAAGAUUUAUCGGCAAAGGAUCGGCCCGCGUUGGAUUAGGUAGUUGGUGGGGUAACGAACUACCAAGCCGACGAUCCAUAGCUGGUUUGAGAGGAUGAUCAGCCACACUGGGACUGAGACACGGCCCAGACUCCUACGGGAGGCAGCAGUGGGGAAUCUUAGACAAUGGGGGCAACCCUGAUCUAGCCAUGCCGCGUGAUCGAUGAAGGCCUUAGGGUUGUAAAGAUCUUUCAGCUGGGAAGAUAAUGACUGUACCAGCAGAAGAAGCCCCGGCUAACUCCGUGCCAGCAGCCGCAGUAAAAC
rnacentral:rRNA from 1 species